UCGUAGAACUGGUUCGACCCUGUGGAAGGUC
rnacentral:piRNA from 1 species